AGAUUGAACGCUGGCGGCAGGCCUAACACAUGCAAGUCGAGCGGCAGCACGGGUACUUGUACCUGGUGGCGAGCGGCGGACGGGUGAGUAAUGCCUAGGAAUCUGCCUGGUAGUGGGGGAUAACGCUCGGAAACGGACGCUAAUACCGCAUACGUCCUACGGGAGAAAGCAGGGGACCUUCGGGCCUUGCGCUAUCAGAUGAGCCGUAGGUCGGAUUAGCUAGUUGGUGAGGUAAUGGCUCGAACCAGGGCACGAUCCGUAACUGGUCUGGAGUAGGAUGAUCAGUCACACGUGGAACUGACGACCGUACGGUCCACGU
rnacentral:rRNA from 1 species